rnacentral:rRNA from 1 species
GUGCCAGCCGCCGCGGUAAGACAGAGGGUGCAAACGUUGCUCGGAAUUACUGGGCGUAAAGCGCGUGUAGGCGGACCACCAAGUCAGGCGUGAAAUCCCUGGGCUCAACCCAGGAACUGCACCUGAAACUGGCGGUCUUGAGUGGUGGAGAGGGAAGCAGAAUUCCUGGUGUAGAGGUGAAAUUCGUAGAUAUCAGGAGGAACACCGGUGGCGAAGGCGGCUUCCUGGACACUAACUGACGCUGAGACGCGAAAGCGUGGGGAGCAAACAGGAUUAGAUACCCUGGUAGUCC